UGGCGGCGUGCCUAACACAUGCAAGUCGAACGAGAAAGUGGAGCAAUCCAUGAGUACAGUGGCGUACGGGUGAGUAACACGUGACUAACCUACCCUCGAGUGGGGAAUAACUUCGGGAAACCGAGGCUAAAACCGCAUAACAUCUACGGAUCAAAUGCGCAAGCAGCUUGAGGAGGGGGUCGCGGCUGAUUAGCUAGUUGGCGGGGUAACGGCCCACCAAGGCAAUGAUCAGUAGCCGGCCUGAGAGGGCGCACGGCCACACUGGAACUGAAACACGGUCCAGACUCCUACGGGAGGCAGCAGUGGGGAAUUUUGCGCAAUGGGGGAAACCCUGACGCAGCAACGCCGCGUGGAGGAUGAAGCCCUUUGGGGCGUAAACUCCUUUCGAUCGGGACGAUUAUGACGGUACCGGAUGAAGAAGCACCGGCUAACUCUGUGCCAGCAGCCGCGGUAAUACAGAGGGUGCAAGCGUUGUUCGGAAUUAUUGGGCGUAAAGGGUGCGUANGCGGUGCGGUAAGUCUUCUGUGAAACCUCCGGGCUCAACU
rnacentral:rRNA from 1 species